rnacentral:lncRNA from 1 species
UCUGAGAAUCUUGCUAAUAUCUUCCUAUUUUAUCAUAUGAAUUUGAAAUCUCAAGUUUUCUGACUUACACUUAAAGAUAAAACUUCAAGUCUUCAAGAUCUUCUAGUGCUCCAACAAAAUCAGAGAAUGCAUGGGCAUCUCAUUAUGUUUAUUCGAAAUCAGAGGUCAAAUGCAAUUACCUCUAGAUUUCCGGACUUUGUCCGAUGGUCUUUCUUGCCUGCAAUGGUUGUCUUCCACUCAAGUAAAACUCCUAUGAUUUUCCCUUCUAAUCUUUGGAUUUUCACUGACUUUGCUCGCAUCAUCAAUCUUUUUGUCGCUCUCCACUAUCGAUUUGAAUUUUUUUUUGAACUCUAAGGCUUCAAUGGACACUAUAAAUAGAGCCUUCAAUUCUCUCACCUAACACGACCUACCACCUAAUACAGCAUAGAAAAUAAAAUAGAAUUAAAAAGCCCUAAACUUCUCACUGAUUUUCUUUUCUUUCUCCGGUUCUGAGUUCAUACACUGUCUGGACUUGAGUUUUUGUUUCCUAACGGCUAAAUAAAAGGCUUUGCUUGAUUUGCUGCUCUGCAAAAGGUCGGUGUACACUGACCCUCCCUUUCACUUAAAUUAUGUUUCUUUAUUUAGUGAUUUUGAUGUAUUCUCUUGGGUCAUAAUACAUGUUUGGUAAUUUUUGGAUUGCCUAUUAUAUUCUCUGUCGUUCUUAUUAACAUAAAUGGUUAUCCUCAUGGUAAUCAUGUAUUUCUAGUUAACAUGUGACUUAAUUGGAUAACACCUGCUAUAAUGAAAUUGUAAAAUUUUUUGUUGAACUUUUGUUACUACUUUAAAAGACUUCUGAUGUUCUUUUAACCUUGCCACCAUGCUAACUUGACUAAACCGUGAUCUCAGACCCAUAUAAUGUUUUGCUAGGAACUUAUGUUUGCUAAUUCUGUAUUGCACUAGUUGUAGGGUUUAAUUAUGUUAUACUAUUAUUGAUCCAUGCCAUGCUUAACCUGUAUACCUUGAACGAUAUUUAUUAUGUACACUUAAGGAUCCAAUGUGAGUUUAUUAUUGUAGUCUGAACUCACUAGUUUAGUUGUCAGGCUAUCUGCUUUUCAACUAUGUCAUGUCAUCUUGUGAGUCUUGAAAAACAUCACUGCACAAUGAGCUUGCGUUUCUUUUGUUAGGUCUUGCAUUUAUGUAUAUGCCUAGCUAUACUUAUGAGCAUUCUUAUCUGAAGGAUUAAUGUCUAAGCCACUAUACUUUUAUUUAUUCAUAGAAGAGUAAGUUGAACCUUACGAGUUUUGACAGCUUAACAAAAUGAAGAAUUUGAGGAGAGAAGCUACUGUUUGAACUCAUAGGCUCUAACAAAUUCUUAAUGUAUGUUUCCCCAGUUAAAAUGAAUAUUAUUCUAUGUUAAUUGAUUACCUCUAUUCGUAUAGGGUUAGUUAUGAUUCUGGAUGUUUUGAUUAAGAAUUUAAGGAACUAGUGAUCCUACUACUAUGUUUGUAUCAUACUAAGAUUGACCUUCUUGCCUACAUGUGUAUCACUCCCUAAACUGACCAUACCAAGUUAAACUUUAUCAUGUUUGGGUUGAUGCAUUCACCUGUGUAACUGGACUAGUAAUCUUACUAUUAGUACCUUGCUUACUUCAUGUGAAAUCUCCAUUGUUCUAAACUCUUAUACUGAAUUUGUUGGCUUGACCCUAUGCUCCAUCAUGUUGUAGUUUUACACUCCUUAGGGAUAUAUUUGUAUGAGCUUGAUUGUCUGCACUUGGACUGCUAUGCUAAUUCUGUUAUCAAACACUCUCUGCUUAUCUUUCAUACUCAUGCCUAUGUACUUCAUUGCCCUAUCACAUAAUGAAGAUUGUAUAAGUCAACUAUAAUUCAUUUAUGGAUUUGAGAUAAUCUUCUGAUCAUAUUUGUUUUUCUUGAGUAGGAUGUUAUGCCUUGACUCUUACUGAACCCGGCGAGAAUGUGAUAUCAUGAAUGAUUUAUGGAGAAAGUGAUCGCCUAUUAGAGUUGAAAUCAAUUUGCUAAUUUACAUAAUCAUGUUGAUGCUCUCUAAAGAUCCUAUAUAAAAUUGUUAAUUCAUACACCUAUUAGAAUCCAAGACUUCCAUGUGUUUAAACCCCUGAUCAACUUAAGCCUGGAACUGUUAAGCAUGAGGACCCUCUGUAAAUUUGAACUAUGUACCUAUUCUAUUUCAUAAGUUGUUUGACUCAAUAGUCUGACCUUUCGAAAUGAUCUGCCACUAAUCGUUUCCCUUAAUUAUACGUGUUAUCAUUUUCUUUGGAUGUUCUUCUGUAUAUAGGUGGUUCUUAACAAUGAACUACACACUGGUGUUUAAGUUGUGAUUUCUUUAGUAUUGUCUGUUAUUACAUCUUCAAAAUAACAUUCAACAUAGUUUCUCUUGGAAGUACAGAUGCCUAAGCAUGUGUAUGAUUGUUACAGUUGUACUAAAAUUUGCAUUGAAUGCCUCAUUGGCUUUUAAACCUAUAGGGAAGAGUAAGUGUGAGUGGAUAGGUGUAUUUACGAGUGAGAUUUAGUUUGUAGUUGAGAUACUCUCCUUGACACAUGCACUGCUCGGGGUCAUUGAGACCCUUGUGAAAUUUGAAGUGUCAGGGGCUCAAAGAGUGUCUUGGAUAUAAAUGUAAUCUCAUCUUAAGCCCUUAAUCAUUGACAGUUACUAAUCUCUUUAGGGUUAGUGUUUAAUGAAGAAAAAGGCUUCACUAUAACUUUCCUUACUCUGCCCGAUCAUACACAAGCUUAUUUACAUUUUUAACAACAAAUAUUUGUUAUAGUCUCAUUUGGACCUUAUGUUUGAUCUUAUCUUCCUUUCAACAUUUUGUUGGGUUUUUGUCACUAAUUUCUUCCUUUUUCUCUUGAACAUAUAACUGAACUGGGCCUGCUGAGGUUUCAAAAAUUCAGGCCCAAGUUCCAGCCUUUGAGUUUGAUGUCAUGGGAGCCGUUGCUGCUUGUAUGUUGUUUGCUGGGCCUAACCUUCUUCAGACCCAAAUUAUUGAGUCCAAUUCCCUUUCCUUCCUCAUUAGAAGAAUUAAAUCUGUUAUCUUUUCUUUACAUGAGUAUAAUACAAACAAAAUUGAUUGAAUGUUUUAUUUUUCCUCAAACCUUCAAGGAACCUAGACAAGCCAAGAUCUAUAGGUAAUAAAAGAAAUCACUAUUACAUUACGAUUAGUUAUAAUAUUUUGGCGCUUUGGUCAUUAUUCUUCAUUACAUAAGAUUUCACUUUUCAUUAUACUAACCAUUUUAAUGAAGUUCUUUGAAGUUCAAAACAGAUUUUGAAAAGAAAUGUAAUUCUUCUUCUAAAGCCGGAAUUGAAAAAGAAGAUUUCAAAGUCAGCUCUUUCUAUAAAUAAAAAUCAACUCGAUUGGAAUCAAACCUAUUAAACCUUUCAAUGUUUUUUCUUGAAACAUGUUGCGUCAAAUUGAAACAAAUUUCCAAAGGUAUAUUUAAGGCCCAUUUCUAACAGUCUUUAUUCUACUAGACCUUUUUACAAGUAACCAUGUUGUAAAGUGUUCAAACAUAGCCACAUCUUACACCUUUGCAAAAUCAUUUAGAUGUAAAUAUUUUAAAAGGCUUUUACAAAUUAAACCUAUCUCCUCUUUAUACAGUACAUAUAUUAUUUCCUUUCAAAAUGAUAAGUAUUUAAACAUGACAUAGGUAAGACAUACACUUUAAGCUUUAACUAAGAAAAAUAUAGAGAUCUAAUUCCUUAAACCUAGUCUAAGUCAUAUGGAGCUACCUCAGGUAGAUAUUAGGGGGUGCCUAAUACCUUCCCCUUAAAAGAACAAGAACCCUUACCCAAUUCUCAUCGGUUAGUAGAUUAAUAGGAUAAUGAUCUUAAUAAUUAAAUAGGUACCCUAGUAUACCUUUAAAUAUUAGGUGGUAACUCUCUUUUAUCGUCAACAGGGAAACCACUAGUUGAAUGUUAUUUUGACUCGCGCAAAAUAGUGUGCAACAACAUGGCGACUCUGCUAGCAACUACACAUAGGUUUUGACCUUAUCAGACUUAGACUAUACUUGGAAUAUAAGACUAUUUAUAUACUACUUUAACUAUGUUUAAUUUGCAACUAUGUUCUUACCUGUCUUACUUGCUCAUUAUGUACUUAUCUGCUUACUUUAAAUGUUAUUAUUAACAUCCCUCUAUCUGUUACCGCUUUAUAUAUACUUUCUUCACACUCUUUUCUAUCGAGUCUUGGCCGUACACUAUCAUACAUAAUGGCACGCGAGGGUUUUCUUUUACAACCCUCCUAACCUUCUUUUAAAAUUCUUUAGUUCCAGAGAAUGGCUUUUUCAGGACAAGUGACAUAACUUCUCGCAGUAUUCAGUCCAACUCAAAAUUAGCGAACACUCUACUCUAGCAAACAUAGGUCAUAUUGCAUAAACCUUAAGUGAGUCGUUCCUUAGCAUCAACACACAAUUAGGAAAGCCACUCUAAUUCCAAUGGGUCAUGAACCCAACGACAUGACUUUUAUGGAAAGAUGAACUAAUCAUGAUGAGAUACUAAUGAUCCGAAGCAAACCCUUAUCAACCCCUUUUCUCUACCCUCUUCGGAAAUGGAAAACAACCAGAACAUCCCCGAAAUCAAUAUGGUAAUGGGGGCACUGCACAAGCUCAAGAAAUGGUGGAAAAACAUCCGCCGAGAGCAUGGAGACGAAAUAAGGACGCACCUGGGAGCAUUAACUACCUUACUGAACAUUCAGGCCGAUAGGGUACUCACCUGCUUGCUGAUAGAGUUCUGGGAUUCGACCAAGGUGGUUUUCAAGUUCGCUAAUUGUAAGUUGGUGCCAGCAUUGGAAGACGUUACCAGAUUCUCAAAGCUACCAUUUAUAGGGAGGAAGCCGAUACUACCGGUCACCAUGCCUGGCUAUACGUUUCUCGAUGCUUUAGGUUUGGUGGGUGGUCGGAGCUUAAGGAACAUCGAAGAUGGAUGGGUUAGCCUGGACCAAUUGAUUGAUAGGUUUGGACAUCGUGAGAGCUAUGAAUGGUACUUGGGAGAAUUUCAGUGUGAUCAUGCAAUCCGAGAAAGUCUCUGACCCAUACCCUUCUCUUUGGCACUGUUAGGACUGCUGGUUUUCAAAUAAAGAAGAGGAUGGAUUAAUAUCAACUUGCUUUUUGUGGUCUUGGAAACAUUCAAGGGCAACCUCCAAGCCACCUUGAUACCUACGGUGUUAGCAGAAAUUCUCAGAGCAUUGUCUACAUGUUCCCGGGGGUAUGAUUCUUUCAAGGGCUACAACUUGUUGGUUCAAAUAUGGGCCAUAAAGCACUUCUUUUAACAAGAGGCCACAGUUGAUUACUUCGUAGGUGUUAGCAACAUGAUUCGUAGUCAUAGUGAGGGAAUGAAACAUUGGGCUGAUAGGACUCCUAAAAGUAUUUCAUUGAGCUGAUAGGACUCGAGGGCAUCAAUCCAUAUGCACCCCUACAAGUUCUCAAGCACUCUGGGUUGAUUCAAUAUGUACAUCUCUUGAUGAGGACGGUACUGUAUGAAGACGAGUACAAUGGAUGGAUCCCUAUGCCAAGGAUAAGGAGGCUUAAGGAGGAGUGGAUCGAUCUAAUCACAAUGUCAAUGGGUCAGAAUUCGUGGUGCACUCCAGAGUAUUAUGUCUCGAUCAAUGACGAAGAUGAACUAGCCCGACCAAGCAGGGAAGGAAAAUCCUGGCUGGAAGAUGCAGUGGCAGCCUUGCAAAUCUAUCAUGAGAUUUUUCCGCACUACCUCAUGACUACCUCCAUGCACCGCCAAGUGGUCCCAGGGUUAAUUGAUCAUAUGCUGCCACCUCCCGAAGAUAAUGACCGAAUGGUUGAGUGUAUACAAAUUGAUCUGAGACACAAUUAGAAGAAGACCUAAAGGAAGAGCCUGAAUUCAAUGAUGAUGAAGAAGAAUUUGAAGAAGACCCGGAAGAAGAAUAGGAAGAAGAAGAAGAGAUGGGAAUGAUUCUGAGGAUGGUUGUUAGAAGCUGGUUGAUUUUACUCCUUGUCCCAUCUUAUAUCUUAUAUCUCGAACCUAUCCAUUUCCUGACGGGCAAGUUUGUUGAGCCUAUGUAAACUUAUGAAUGUUGAAAACAUUAAUGUAACAUUUGCUCUCGCAUGUUACAAUCCAAAUAUUAUUAAUGAAAACUAGAGUUUGUCAAGGUCUACAGACGCCAAGGCAGCUACCUCGAUAAUCUCCGAAAGGCUGAAACUGCAAGAUCAGCAACCACCGUGCCAAGAAACACCUGGAUCUGCACACGAAGUGCAGGCUGUAGCGUGAGUAUAACCAACUCAGUGAGUAAAAAGUCUAAACUUUGGUCUGAAAGUAGUGACGAGCUCAAACAGUAUAGAAAAAGUAUAGAUUUUAACAAUACAAAAAAUGUAGACAUGCUUCCAGGUUUAACAGUGUAGUUCAACGCAAAUAAACUAUUCCAAGUGUGACUGAAAUGAAUAAUAUGACAUCUCUAUAUCUACAUGCCAAUAUGAAUACCGUAUGUGAUGCAACACACUGAAACCUCAAGUACUCACACUCUUUGACCACUUAAUCUGACUGUCUCAAUUCUCGCUCGUCACACUCAGUCACUCAGCACUGUACGGAACCUGUUGUGGCGUGCAACCCAAUCCACAUAUAGCCCUAAGGCCUAUUGUUGCGCGCAACCCUAUCCACAUAUAGCCAUAAGGCUUGUUGCAACGUGCAACCCGAUCCACAUAUAUAGCCAUAAGGCUUGUUGCGUGUAACCUGAUCCACGUAUAUAGCCAUAAGGCUUGUUGCAGCAUGCAACCCGAUCCACAUAUAUAUCCAUAAGGCUUGUUGCGGCGUGCAACCCGAUCCACAUAUAUAUCACUCACUGCACGGCACUCAGGCCCCAACUCAGUCAUCAAUCUCUUCAGUCUUUCUGGCUCACAAAUCUCAUGCAAAUUAGCCCAAAAGAUGAUAUAUGACACAACAAUAAUAGUAAUAGAGACUCAGAUAUGAUAUGCAAAUAAUGGAUAUGACUGAGUACAAAAUUGCUAUCUAAGCAAAUAAUUCAACAACAGAAAUGACCACAGUGGGUCUUAAUAGGAUAAACAUAUACCUUAAUAUGAUUUCUAACACGAAUCGGUAGCUCAAUUACUUUAACACACAGAUAUCACAUGAAUGGCUAAAAGGUCUGAUGACUACACAGUACCACAAAAUCAACCGAAUCAUAAUUUCUACGGUGAACGCCCACACGCCCAUCACCCAGCAUGUGCGUCACCUCAACACCAAUCACAUAACAUAUAAUGCAGGGAUUCGUACCCUCAGAACCAAGUUUAGAAGUGUAACAUACCUCAAACCAAGCAAAUCUAUACUCCAAUAAGCCCCUGCCUUGUGAAUCAGCCUCCGAACGUCUCGAAUCUAGCUACAAACAAUUUGACAGAAUAAACACGAGCUAUAGAAAUUAAUUCCAUAUGAAAAUGCUAAGUUCAUAAUAAAAAGUAGAAAAGCCAGCUCAAAAGUAAACCCCAAGCCCACGUCUCGGAACCCAACAAAAGUCACAAAAUCCGAACAUCCAUUCGACCACAAGUCCAACCAUACAAAAUUUACCGAAUUUCGACACCAAAUCAUCACUCAAAUCCCCAAUUUUAACUCUCCAAUCCCUAGCCCAAAACUCCCAAAAAUCCACGUCAAAAACACAUAAACUAGGUGGAAAAUUCAAUGGGUAAUCAAUGUUAUUGCAUAAAAAUGGUCAAAAGUCACUUAUCUCAAGAGAUCACGCAAAACCCCUCACAAAAAUUGCCUUAAUCCGAGCUUGCAAAGUCCAAAAUAAUAAAAAUCUCGGAACCCUCGAAUUUAAACACUGCCCAGGUAUUUCCGCACCUGUAGAAUUACUUUUGCGAUAAAAAUACUACUUCUAUGGAAGUAACUUAAGUCCACAAGGUCCGCACUGUGCUCCAUGUUUCGCACCUACGGAUGCGCUUCUGCGACGACCCAUCCGCUUCUGCGAAGAAAACCCAUUCUCCUAUUCUCCGCAUCUGCGGAGCCCUGCUCGCAUCUGCGGGCUCACAGAUGCGGAAGACCCCUCAUACCUACGACAAACCCCAUACCAGCCCAGCUCCACUUCUAUACUACAUCAGUCGCACCUACGGCAUUGCAUCUGUGGCUAAAUCCCUCUCAGGUACGAUCACACUAGAAGGCAAAAAUCUAGAAUUGCUUCAACUUCAACUUCAACUUCAACUUUUGGUCCAUUAACCAUCCAGAAUCCACCCGAGGCCCCCAGGACCUCAACCAAAUAUACCAACAAGUCCGAAAACAUGAUACGAACUUAAACCAGGCCUCAAAUCACAUCAAAUAACAUCAAAAACAUGAAUCGCACCCCUAUUCAAGCCUAAUAAAAACUAAGAAAUUCCAACUUCUACAAUCGAUGCUGAAACCUAUAAAAUCAAGUGCGAUUAAACUCAAAUUUUGCACACAAGUCAUAGAUGACACAACGGUCCUUUUCCAACUUUCAGAACCAAAAUCCGAGCCCGGUAACCACAAAUUCAACCCUCGGUCAAACUCCUCAACUUUCCAAACUUCUAAUUUUCAACCUUCGCUGUUUCAAGCCAAAAUCAACUACGGACCUCCAAAUCACUAUUCAGACACACUCCUAUGUCCAAAAUCACCCAGCGGAACUAUCGAAACCAUCAAACCUCCCUUUUGGAGCCAUUUACACAUAAGUCAAUAUCAGGUCAACCUUUUCAACUUAAGCUUCCAUCUUUGAGACUAAGUGUCUUAACUCAUUCCGAAACAUCCCCGGAACCAACCCAACUACCUCAGCAUGUCACAUAACAACAAUUGAGCAUAAAAUAAGCAGUAAAUAGGGGAACGGGGCUACAACACUCAAAUCGACCGGCCGGGUCAUUAUAAGAGAGGUCUUUCAAACUCUAGGAAACGCGCUUGCAUGAAAAUAUGAAGUAACUGCUCUAUGUGCAUAUAUUUAUGCGAACAUUAAAACUGACUUCUAUUCUUUUUCUAUUUCUUUUCUUUCCUUUUCUUGUAUUACUUAUUAUUAUUAUUCAACAAAAAAGGAAGUUGGUUUGUGUUGACCUAAAACUGGUGGAACCAUCAUACAACUUGAGAUUGAAAGGGAAGAUGUCCGCGAUAGGUUACCUGACCGAACACGCUCUAAUAAUAGCUGAUAGCCCGGGGCGAACUGUAGAGAAGGAUGAUACUCGAAAUGAAGAACAUGUUGCUAGGAUGGCUCAAGAGAUGGAAUGGUUAAGGGAGGCAGUACAACAUAUUCGGGAAUUGGCACAUUUGGUCGUGGCAACGCUCCCACAAUUACCCCGUUUUCCUUCUCUAGAUUCAAUCCCCGACCACUUUCCUUUAACUACUAGCCAAGCACAUGAUACCCCGACUUUAGUCCCUACAACCUAGAUUAUACCCCUUGUAACCCUUGUGAACCCACCAAACCGUCCUAUAAACACCCCUUAAGUACCAAAUUAUGUUCAAAUGCCUCAAAAUCCACUAGUUGCUACCAAUGCAGUUCAUAGCCCUACUCGUGAUGGCAUCACCUUCACCACUAACAAAGCUAAGCACAUACAUGCGACACAUACCGCUGCACACGAGCGAUAUGUUCCUCCUGUAUAUGAUGUGUCAGAACCCACCUUCACAACACCCAUCACGGUCAGGCUGCCUUAUGAUUUUGACCUAUAUGCCGAAAUGAAAAGGGAAGCUAAGUAUAAGGAGGAAGAGUCGGUAUCCAAACAGUUAUGGGCAUUGAGGAAAUAAAUAAAGAACCUUCAGGUCGCUUAAGGUAGACAAAGUCUUGAUUAAGAGGAUCUGUGUAUACACCCUGAUGUGGACAUGCCGAUAAGGUACAAGGCUCCGAAGUUUGAUAUCUUUGAUGGAACAGGUGAUCCCCAUGGACACUUGAGAGCCUACUAUGAUAAGCUAGUUGGAGUAGGAAGAAAUGAGAAGUUGAGAAUGAAGCUAUUCAUAAGGAGUCUGACAGGGGAGGCGCUUACUUGGUACACUCGCUAAUAUCCCAAACACUGGAAGGAACAGAAGGAUAUGGCAGAAGAUUUCAUGAACCAUUUUCUAUUCAAUACCGAAAUUACCCCUAAUAGGUUCGCCCUAGUAAACUUGCAGAAGAAGCCAUAAAAAUUAUUUCAAGAGUAUGCACGUCGGUGGAGGUCGGAGGCCGCAAGAGAACAAUCCCCGUAAGAUGACAUUGAGUUGACUAAGUACUUCAUCAGGGCUUGGGAAGGAAUCUACUUUGAGAAAAUGAUGGGCAUGAUGGGGCAGAAGAUCCAUGAACUUGUUUAAAUGGGAGACUUUCUAUAGGAAGGCGUAACAUCCGGUAAGGUACAAUCUAUGGCCGCAUUGCAAGUAGCUAGUAAAGCAAUCCAAUCCAGCUCAAUAGGCAGCAGAAAGAAGAGAAAGGAAGAAGGAUCAACAAUCAUUCCCUAUUACCAGUCCAAUCCACACAAUGGAAACAACUCUUACUCUCCAAAUACCCAUUCUCCACACCAACCUACUUAUGCUCCAGUAUACAACACACAACCAUACUACAAUCUCCAACCUCAAUAUAACCUACCUCGCACCCAUAUAAAUCCAAAUCUGCCAUGACCAUAUGCUAAAAUUCAAACUACCACUCAUCAAAAUUGACCCAUAUAUGCACCCAGACAUCACCCAAAUUUUGAAGAAAUAGGUCCCAGAAACUACACCCUGAUUGCUGAACCUUUGGCUCAAUUGUUUGAAAGACUGAGGAGAGCUGGCAUGAUACAUCCGAUAAAAGGGAGGAUUCUUGAGAAUCCUUCAAAAUACUUUGAUGCAACCAAAUGGUUCUUCUACCAUUCAAACAUACUGGGUCAUGAUACCAAGGAUUGCUUCAAACUUAAAAAUCAAAUUGAGUCAUUGAUCAAACAUGAAGCCAUUAAGUAUACCCAGCUCUGCCCAAUGUGAACCGUAACCAAUUUCCAAACCAUCGGAAUCAAGGAGAUAAUAUGACCACCCUGGAUGAAGAGUAUGACUUAAAAGGAACCAUUGUACAAUCGGGAAUACUGAGGUUAUGAGGGUUCCACCUCGAAGGACUCUAAUGAUCAUUGUACAGUUAAAACAUACAGUGAUUGUCCAGACAUAUUAGCAAUAGUCCACCGCCACUAUCAAGGAUGAAGAGGAUCAGGAAUACAAGAUAGUCCAAUGGACAUAUAAGAAGAAAGGGAAAGACAAGAUGACAGAUUUCGCAGCGGCUCAUGCAAUGACCAGGUCAUAGGAGGUGUUAUGCUCCAGUGGAAGUAAACCGAGGGAAUCCAGGAAGGGAAUAAAUUCAGAGAAGGAAUAUAAUAGAACCGGAGGUUGCAGAAUUCUGGAAGAAGAUGUCAACUAAAGAAUACUCUGUGGAAGAAUAAUUAAAGAAAACCCCUGCGCAAAUAUCAAUCAUGGAUCUACUGGUGAGCUCUGAUAGUCACAAAGAUGUCCCGAUAAAAGUGUUAAGUGGAGUGAGCAUGCCAAGCAACUCUACCAGCGAGGCACUAGCAGCAACUAUCGGGGAGAUGGUCGAGACGAACAUGAUUAACUUUCGAUGAGACAAACUUCCCAUAGAAGGCAUGGGUCACAACAUAACUUUACACAUCACCGUCAAAUAUAGAGAUAAGAUGGUGUCCUGAGUAUUUGUUGAUGGAAUAUCAGGGGUUAAUAUAAGUUGGCUCUACAAGUGAUGGACAUUUCAUCCUCAUAUAAGUUGUUGCUAGGAAGACCCUGGAUACAUAUGGCAUGGACAGUCCCGUCUACCGUCCAUUAGUGCAUGAAGUUUGAGUGGUGUUGUCAAGAUAUUGUAGUUCAUGGCGAAUGGAGCCAGUCAGCUUAUCUAGAACAUGCAGUUCCAUUCAUAGAAGGAUUAGAUGGGGCCGCUUUUCAUGUGGUCGAAAUCAUAUAGAUGACGGAGAUAGAAGAUACUAAGCAAAACAUGGGUAUGCAGUCACCAUUCAGAUUAAAGAUGGCUAUGAGAGAAAUGAUGAAGUAAAAAUAUAGACUAGGGACCGGCCUGGGAGCCCGAUCAGAUGGCAUAACAGAGCCAAUUGAGCCAAGUAGGCAGAAAGGUAGAGGCGACAUAGGGUAUCAGCCUCCAACUGGAAAGCCUUAUAUAUGUGUCUUUGUGAAGAAAGCUUUUAUGCCAGAGCGUGUUUCGGGUCCGGUUCAGAGCUCAAAACCAGAGGACGACAUCGUCGAUGGAAUGGGUAUGUUGUGCGUGACCAUGAUCGAAGAAUGCUGUGACAAAGUUGAUACCAAGACACCGACCAUUCAGAAUGUCAAACCAGGAGAGGACAUGGAGAAUUAGACUGCCAUCCCAUCUUUGUUUCGCCGGGAGUCUUGUAAUCAAAAUGAAAAAAACCCGUAUUCCACGAUUAUGACAUGUAAUAAAACCCUCGAGCAAAGCGAUCAAGAUUAUGAGGAAUACGAUGAAAGCAUGAUGCCAGAUAAUCUCCCGCAAGAGCUUGAGCAACUGGAAAGCCAUAAAACGUCUAACCUUGAGGAGACAGAAGUAUUCAACUUGGGAAGCGAAGAAGACGUCAAAGAAACUUGAAUCAGCAUCCAUUUAGAAGCAGAGCUGAAAGAAGAAUUUGUUGAGCUCUUUCAACAAUACAACGACGUAUUCACAUGGUUGUAUGAUGACAUGCCUGGAUUGAGCACCGACAUAAUUUCAUAUCGAUUGCCUACCGAUCCUGCCAGACCGCCAGCCAAAUAAAAGCCUAGAAAGUUCAAUCCGGACUUGAUUUUGAGGUUAAAAGAAGAAGUAACCAUGCAGAUAGAGGUAAACAUGGUAAGAGUCACCAAUUAUCCCACAUGGUUGGCAAAUAUCGUAUCGGUACCAAAGAAAUAUAGGAAGAUCAGGAUAUGUGUGGAUUAUCGAGAUCUUAACAAGGCAAAUCCGAAAGACGAUUUCCAUUUACCAAACAUUCAUAUCCUCAUCGACAAUUGUGCGAAGCACGAGCUGCAGUCAUUCGUGGAUUGUUUCGCCGGGUGCCAUUAGAUCCUGAUGCAUGAAGAAGAUGUAGAGAAGAUAGCGUUCAGUAUGCCUUGGGGUGUUUACUACUACAGAGUAAUGCCAUUCGGCCUCAAGAAUUCUGGUUCUACUUACAUGAGGGCCAUGACAACCCUCUUUUACGAUAUGAUUUACAAAUAGAUCGAGGUAUAUGUGGAUGAGGUCAUAAUCAAGUCUUGAAAGAGUUCAGAACAUUUGGACGACUUGAAGAAGUUUUUCGAGCGCUUGCGGAGGUAUAGUUUGAAGUUGAACCAUGCAAAAUGUGUAUUUGGAGUCCAUGCUGGAAAAUUGCUAGGUUUCAUUGUAAGCAAGAAAGGGAUAGAGUUGGAUCCUUCAAAGAUCAAAGCCAUUCAAGACUUACCUCCGCCUAAAAGCAAGAAGGAUGUGAUGAGUUUUCUUGGUAGGCUAAAUUACAUCAACCGAUUCAUAGCCUAGUCUCCGUUAAUUUGUGAGCCUAUCUUCAACCUGCUGUAAAAGGCGUACAUGUCAAAUCCACCAGUGUUGGUUCCUCUUGAACCCGGGAAGCCAUUGUUGUUAUACCUGUCAGUUUUGAACAAUGCAUUUGGAUAAGUGUUGGAAAACGACGAUGAGACCGGAAGAAAAGAGCAAGCUAUCUACUACUUAAGCAAGAAGUGUACACCAUGCGAAGCCGAAUACACUUUCAUAGAGCACGCUUGUUGUGCUUUGACUUGGAUAGUCCUGAAGUUGAGGCACUACAUGUUAACAUACACCACACAUCUAAUAUACCGGCUCGACCUUCUUAAGUAUAUCUCCUAGAAGCUGAUGCCUACGGGAAAACUGGCCAAAUGGCAGAUUCUUUUAAGAGAAAUUGACAUUCUGUACUUAAUGCAUAAAGCCAUCAAAGGACAAGCCUCAGCCGACCACCUUGCAGAGAAUCAAGUGCACAAGGAUUUUGAGCCGCUCACUACAUACUUUCCGGAAAACGAAGUGUUAUUCGCCGGAGAAAACAUUACAGAGUCAUACCCAGGAUAGAGAAUGUUCUUCGAUAGAGCAGCAAAUUUAAAAGGAGUAGGAAUUGGGGCAGUCUUAAUUUCAGUGUUGGGAUAGCAUUAUCCGGCGUAAGAAAAUAUAAGGUUCCCCUAAACAAAUAAUAUGGCCGAGUACAAAGUAUGCCUCCUCGGGAUUAGGAGUGCGGUCGACAUAAGCAUCAAGAAGUAUCUGGUCAUAGGAGAUUCUUAUAUGUUGAUACAUCAAGUUCAAGGAGAAUGGACUUCCAAGAACAUCAAGAUCCUUCCAUACCUGCAUUGCAUAAAGGAGUUGUGCAAGAAGUUCACAACAAUCAAUUUCAAGCACAUUCCCAGGAUCCAUAACGAGUUUGCCGAUGCUCUCGCAACCUUAUCAUCCAUGAUCCAGCAUCCAGAUAAGAAUUACAUCGACCCUAUUGAAAUUGAGACCAGGGAUCAACAUGCGUACGGUUUCCAUGUAGAUGGAGAGCUAGACGGUAAGCCGAGGUACCACGACAUUAAAAGGUUUCUUGAAAUAAGAAGGUAUCCAGAGACUGUCACCAAGGUUCAGAAGUGAGCACUCAAAAGGCUAGCAAAUCACUUUUUCCUUAACGGGGAAGUCUUGUAUAGGAGGAACCCAGACUUGGAUAUGUUAAGAUAUGUAGAUGUCGCUUAAGCAACUAGAAUGAUAGAAGAAAUACAUGUAGAGACAUGCAGACACCACAUGAAUGGCUUCACCUUAGCCAAGAAGAAUUUAAGAGCCGGAUACUUUUGGAUAACCAUGGAAAGCGAUAGGAUCCGCUAUGUACAGAAGUAUCACCAAUGCCAGAUCCACGAAGAUUUCAUCCGGGUUCCAACUAAUGCGUUGAAUUUAAUGGGAUCGCCUUGGCCUUUUGCCGCCUGGGGAAUGGACGUAAUCAGACCUAUAAAGCCCACUGCAUCAAAUAGAUAAUGUUUCAUCUUGGUAUAAAUUGAUUAAUUCCCCAAAUAGGUCGAAGCAUCUACAUACAAAGCUGUUAUGAAGAAAGUAGUGACAGAUCUCGUCCGUAACAACAUAGUAUGCUGAUUUGGGAUAGCCGAGUCAAUCAUCACUGACAACGCAGCCAAUCUCAACAGUGAUCUCAUGAGAGAAGUUUAGAAUCAUCCAUCGUAACUCUACAGCCUACAGACUGCAAAAGAAUGGAGAAGUUGAAGCAGCCAACAAAAACAUCAAGAGCAUUCUACAAAAAAUAGUGGACAAUCAUAGGCAAUGGCACGAGUAAUUAUCCUUUGCCUUAAUGGGUUAUCGUACUACUAUGAGGACAUCCACUGGGUAACACCAUGCAUGUUGGUAUAUGACACUGAAGCUGUGAUACCCGCAGAGGUCGACACACCUUCCUUGAGAGUCAUUCAAGAAGACAAGUUCGAUGAUAUAGAAUGGAUAUGGGUCAAGUAGGAGUAACUCAUGCUCAUUGACGAGAAGAGAAUGGAUGCAGUAUGCCAUGGUCAACUGUAUCAAAGUAGGAUGGACAGUGCCUUCAAUAAAAGGGUAAACCUCACCAAUUUAUACCGAGGCAGUUGAUUUUGAAGAAAAUAUUCCCUCAUUAAUAAGAAGUCAAGGGAAAGUUUGCGCCAAAUUGGCAAGGUCCUUAUGUGGUCCACCGAGUUUUGUCGGGAGGAGCUCUGUUCUUGGCAGAGAUGGACGGAAAAGUUAGCAUGAAGCCUAUCAACCCGGACACAAUCAAGAGAUACUAAUUCGAAGAAAGUGAAGUUAGGUUUUUGUUUAAACAAAACUAUGCCACACCUGACUUCCCAUGGAGGGAUACAUAGGCAACACACAUAUGGUCUGAUCAUUCUCUCUCGCCCACUCUUCUUUUGUAAUAGGAAAUCCAAAUACUAUUUUGUAUGUACUCGGAACUACGCCGCGACUUAAUUUCCUUUGGAAGGAAUACGUAGGCAAUCCUUAUCAGAUUCAGUCAUCUUUUGUAAUUGAACUACGUCAUGACCCAAUUCCAUUUGGAUACGUAGGCUUCCAGAGUCAGGCUCGGUCAUCGUCAUAUUUUUCUUUAUCGUUAUCCAUGAAUUACGUUCAGAUCUGAUUCCUACUCAGAUACUUUGGCAACCUAAAAAGGUUUGGUCAUGACCUUAGGAAAAUCUUUGUAAUGCAUUAGUUUAGAUUAGGAUACACUCGCAGCAACAAGAAGCCACACCAUCAGAAUAAUCUUAUUAGAUCGACAUCAAUGAGACAGAGUUUUCCAGUAACAACGUUCGUGUCUGAGGGAUUUCCUAGACAUGUCAUAAUCUGGAAUGACAACAUUUUCCAUAAGAUAAAAGAUUUUCAAAAUGUUUCCUUAAAAUGUAACAAUCUGUUCCACCUAACGAACGUCAUGGUGUAACCUCACCAAGCCUGGGGCAACGCCAAGGCUAUUGUCGACACAAACUAACACCUCCCCUGCUAAGAAUUUUUCUUUGAGUGCAGGAAUAACAAGAUACAAGGCAAAGCUGGAGCAGGCUGGGGCAAUGACGGACCCACCACUCUUAGGUAUUUUAACACCAGGCCACCGAUGCAAACGAAGCAUAUUGUAAAUAGCAAACUGUCAACUCAACCAAGCAGAGCAUGUUGUAUAUAGCGAGCCGCUGGCCCCGCCAACCAAAUCCAUAUGUAUAGUAAAUCGUUUGCUCAAACAAGCAGAGCAUGUUACAUAUAAUGAGCUGCUUGGCCCGCGAACCGAUGCCAUGUGUAUAGCAAACUGCCAGCUCAAUCAAUCAGAGCGCACUGUACAAAUCGAGUCGUCGGCUUUGCCAAUCGAAGCCCUGUAUCUAACAAAUUGUCCGCUUCGCCAACAGGAGCAUUCCUCACCGCCACUCAGCCAUAUCGAAGAUUACAAGUAGAUAGCUACAAAUCUCGUCACCAACAUUAUGCCGAAUGACAAAUGCAAUUUAGUUGCAUUCAAGAGUAUCUCUUGGGCACACUCCUUAUUUAUUUAUUU